AUGAUAUUUAAGACCUUAGAAUCUAUAUUUAGACCACUUGUUUACCAUCACAUAGUGCUAUUAAGAUCCAAAGUUGUUCACUUCCUCCCUGUACGUAACUCUUUCCUUUUUCUGCCUUCACGUCGUGCCAUAAAUGACAUAGAUAAUAGCUUAACCUUCUCUAGUUCAUUGCAUUUUAACUGGGAACCAAGUACAAGGCAAAAAGAUAAAACUCUGUGGAUUACUGGUCACCAGGUGACAUCUGCUGGAAGUGCAGACUGGCCUGAACAAGUUGCCGUCACUCCUGAUGCAGUGAUGCCAAGAUCACAAGGGUUGUAUGAAGCAAAAGAUAUCAACUGUUCUAUAGGUACAUUGUGCUGCUCUCACGUUAAUUUUUUUUUUUUUUUUUUGUCUUUUGUUGUUGUUGUUGUUGUUGCUAUUUCUUGGGCCGCUCCCGCGGCAUAUGGAGGUUCCCAGGCUAGGGGUCGAAUUGGAGCUGUAGCCACCGGCCUACGCCAGAGCCACAGCAACACGGGAUCCGAGCCGCGUCUGCAACCUACACCACAGCUCACGGCAACGCCGGAUCGUUAACCCACUGAGCAAGGGCAGGGACCGAACCCUCAACCUCAUGGUUCCUAGUCGGAUUCGUUAACCACUGCGCCACGACGGGAACUCCUCACUUUAAUAUUUUUAAUGAAUUUUUAUUUUAUUUAGAUUUAGAAAUCUUACCUAUAAGUAAAUAAACCUUAGAGAGGUUAAGCCUAAGGUCACCUAGUCACAUGAAUAAAGCCACAUGAUAAGGCCAAUGCCUGGACCAUAAAAUCAAGAUACAUUUCACUACAACAUACUUUUAUUCUUUUUAAAACCCCACAACACCCACAGAACACAAACUCCCCAACUAGUUAAAACUAUUUUACCUUCCUUAGGUGGUUUGACUUUAAUAUAUUCAAUACUUAGAGAACAAAUGAAAUGCUGAUCGUGGUGUCUUUAGAUAAUAGUACAGAAAUGAGCUUGAAAGUGAUUGAAAACCAGUUCUUGCUCUGUUUCUGCUUAACCAACCUAAAAGUCUAUCAUUUUCAACUGUCCAAAUUCUUUGAAGGAUACUUAAAAUACCUUAACAGUUAUAAAGUUGGAAACAAUUAGAGUUGUAGAAAUAAAAAAUUUUCUCAUGCUUCAGUUAAUUUUAAUAACUAUAACUCAUAAUAAAUGCAGUAUAGUGUGGGAUUCUAAUAAUGCUAUGCUCUCUUGCUUAGGAACAUUAAAAGACCAUGAGGCACUGGGGGGCAUGUAUUAAAAUUAUCAUAAGAUUGGAAAUAUGAGCCUGUUUAUAUGUAUAUGCAUUACAAGUACGUGUGUUGGAAGAUAUAUCACACAAUCAUGUUUUCUCUAAACAUACGAAAGAAAAGGGUAACACUUAAAUCAUUCUUUUUACACUAGGAAGAAAAGAAAUCCCAAUUUAAAGUAUCAAUUACUGGGUUCAAGUUCUAGUCAUGUUGCUUUAUUAUCACCUAACUUUCUGAAUCUACAGUUUCCUUAGCAGUAAUUUAAUUUUACCUGCCUUACCUAUUGCACUGUGUUGCAUUAGGGCUUCAAUAGGCAGUAUGCCUCUGUGAUUUGCUAGGUAAAACCAUCACGUAAAUGUAGUUACCAUCUAUUGUAUUAUCUGAAAUAAUGCAUUCAAAUGUUUAAAUAGAUAUAAAUGUCCAGCUAUACUUGCAACCUGUAAAAAUAAACUUCAAAAUAGUUCAUGGGGGAAAAGAAGAAAGAGAAAAAUAAUGAAGUAUUUAGAAGCGAAAAAAAUAAAAAGUGAUUACUUAAAAAGAAUGUGUGUGUGUGUGUGUAUGGGUCACUUUGCUGUACAGCAGGAAUUGAUAGAAUAUUAUAAAUCAACUAUAAUAGAGAAAAAUAAAAAUCUUAAAAAAGUGGUUACUUUUUUUUUUUUUUUUUUUUUGUCUUUUUGCCUUUUCUAGGGCUGCUCCCACAGCACAUGGAGAUUCCCAGGCUAGGGGUCUAAUCAGAGCCGUAGCCACUGGCCUACACCAGGGCCACAAGAACGUGGGAUCUGAGCCGCGUCUGCAACCUACACCACAGCUCACGGCAAUGCCAGAUCCUCAACCCACUGAGCAAGGCCAGGGAUCGAACCCGCAACUUCAUGGUUCCUAGUCUGAUCCGUUAACCACUGUGUCAUGAUGGGAACUCCAAAAGUGUCUACUUUUGUUUCAAAGCUUGUGAUAUUCCAUUUAAUUGUGGAUAGAGGCAAAUACAUAGCUUCUGGUAAAAAUAUUUCAGCAUCAGAAAAACUAAAAAUUGCUAAGCCAAUAAUUUAGAUCAAUUUUAAAAAUCAAAAUAAGGAAAUAAAAAAAUCCAUCAACUAAUACAAUAAAAACAAAGGGACAAUAAUGUAGAAUAAGGAAAAUCAGAUUUACAGAGUGAAACUGUAUGACACAGAAUGGCUAUAAAUUUGGGAAGGGGAGAUGUCUUUUUUAAAAUAUGGUUUAAAUGAAAUGAAGUGAGAGAAAAUAUAAGAGGCCAGAAAUGUAAGUAAAGCAUAAUUAAUUUACUUGGUCAACAAGUAUUUAUUGGGCACCUAAUAUGUGCCAGACACUACUUUAGUCUUUUUUUAAGAAAGAUAAAUAUGACUUAGAGUUUUAUUAUAGUAGGAAAGAUUGCUAAACAAAAUUAAAAGUAAAUAAUUAGUACAUUAACUGUAAUGACAGUUAUGGAAAAAAAAAUAAGUCAUUGAAGGGUGCUAAAUUUUGCUGGGGAAUGGAGCUCAUAAUUUUAAAAUUACUUUCUCAAGGACUUCAGUCUUUCUCAAGUUAAUCUCACUCUGAAAAACACAAAAUAACUCUUACGGUCAUUCUCCAUCAAAAUCCAGAUAUAUAUAUAUAUAUAUAUAUAUAUAUAUAUAUUCGAUUUCCUGCUUUGCAUUUCUGCAUGGAUUUUUAGUUCAUAGCUCAAAUUUAAAAUCCAAAUCUAUCCUAAAUUAGCAUCAAAAUAAACACCCCUUUGCCACCAAAACUGACUGGCCUACAGUUUCCACAUCAGUCAAUGGCAACCCAAGACUUGCAGUUACUUCGAUAAAUAAGUAAUAAACACGAAAAGACAUAAAUACAUAACUCAAGUCCUUCAGAAAUCUUGUUUUCCUCUUUUUCUAACAAAGGACAUCUAAUCUGUCAAAAAAUUAGUUCUCUCAGAAGCAGUGUCAGAAAUAUCAAAAUCCUUGUGUGAAUAUUUAAUGGAUCUAUUAUGUAUCAGUAUCUGCAAAUAUGUCUGAAUAUAUGUAUGUAAUUACAUAUGUCAUGAUUUACUAGAUCAAUAAGCAUAUACCAAUAUGUAUAUAUCAUAAAAUAUAUUGCUAUCUUACUUUUGUUGACUAUCUCUGUAUACACAAACAUAAAAAAUACUUAUAUGUGUGCAUGUGUGAUAUGUAUAAGAUAGAAAAUAUUUCAACAAUUCAAAUAAUAACUUUGAACUUGUUUAGAGAUCUAUAAGACCCUGCAAGUACUUCUAGAAAUCCAUUCUUUUUAAGCACAUAUACAGUGCUUAUAAAAAUUUCAAUGAAUCAUAUCUCAACUCACUUCAAAUAACUGCUAAGAAAAAGAUAACUUUAGGAGUUCCCACCGUAGCUCAGUGGUUAACGAAUCCAACUAGGAACCGUGAGAUUGCGGGUUUGAUCCCUGCACUUGCUCAGUGGGUUAAGGAUCUGGCGUUGCCGUGAGCUGUGGUGUAGGUCGCAGACGCGGCUCGGAUCCCGUGUUGGCUGUGCCUCUGGUGUAGGCUGGUGGCUACAGCUCCGAUUAGACCCCUAGCCUGGGAACCUCCAUAUGCUGUGAGAGUGGCCCUAGAAAAGGCAAAAAGACAAAAAAAAAAAAAAAAAAAAAAAAGACAGAAAAGAAAAAGAUAACUUUAAAAAACAUAUAUUUCAAUAUUUAAAACAAGUAUUUAAAUAAUCAGUAAGUAAAGUCAAAAAUCAUAAAGCCAAAUAAGAAAGACGGCUGAAUGACAGUCACUGUACAAUGAGUCAAAUUAAUGCAAUGUAGCUGAAAUGAAGAAAACAUAUGAUGUUUAAAUGUUU
rnacentral:lncRNA from 9 species